rnacentral:rRNA from 1 species
GCGAAGAACCUUACCUGGUCUUGACAUCCACAGAACUUUCCAGAGAUGGAUUGGUGCCUUCGGGAACUGUGAGACAGGUGCUGCAUGGCUGUCGUCAGCUCGUGUUGUGAAAUGUUGGGUUAAGUCCCGCAACGAGCGCAACCCUUAUCCUUUGUUGCCAGCGAUUAGGUCGGGAACUCAAAGGAGACUGCCAGUGAUAAACUGGAGGAAGGUGGGGAUGACGUCAAGUCAUCAUGGCCCUUACGACCAGGGCUACACACGUGCUACAAUGGCGCAUACAAAGAGAAGCGACCUCGCGAGAGCAAGCGGACCUCAUAAAGUGCGUCGUAGUCCGGAUUGGAGUCUGCAACUCGACUCCAUGAAGUCGGAAUCGCUAGUAAUCGUGGAUCAGAAUGCCACGGUGAAUACGUUCCCGGGCCUUGUACACACCGCCCGUCACACCAUGGGAGUGGGUUGCAAAAGAAGUAGGUAGCUUAACCUUCGGGAGGGCGCUUACCACUUUGUGAUUCAUGACUGGGGUGAAGUCGUAACAAGGUAACCGUAGGGGAACCUGCGGUUGGA